UGGCGUUGUCUCGUGUUGUUUGUUUGUCUAAAACAGGAACAAAGCCUGAAUUAAUUAACUGGUGUGGACUGGAACUCCCAAGCUCAGCGAGCAGCACGCUGGCCCAGGGCCUCCCAAACUUUGACACCGACGAAGAGGAUGACGUCCACGGAGCCAGCACUGUGAUUGGUUUAGUUAAGGAGCAUGAUCCAUUUGAAUUUAUUUAUUUUCAUUAAGAUUUUAGUCUUCAAACUGUUUAUAUACUCUUGUGCAGUGCCUGUUCUGAAUGGGCUGUUUAAUUGGUUAUAUGAAUUAUUAUUAUAAAAGAUUAUUCCUUGAUGUACAACCCACAGCUCUACUUUUUAUUGUUUGUGUGCUGGAAGUUGUGCGCAGAGCUUUUAUUAACAGUCUAUGGUACAGAGGGAAGUAAGAAAACUUUCAUCCUACCUAGUCUAUCUGCAAUGAGGAUUUCCCAAGUUCACAAUUCUUCAAAAUAAAAGCUUUGUAAUUCACCUCCAUAUAUAAGCAUUGCAGCAACAAAGCAAACUAAUUGUGAAAAGCCAUUAUUUGAAUGUUGUUGCCAAGAUGGACAUCGGCAAC